GGGAUUUGUUGGUUAUAGGCACAUGUGGUGCGGUUUUAUUGGGGUCUUUCAGUGGAAUUCGAGCGGGAGGAGUAUUGGGUAUUGCUCGGCGGUUGGCGUAUCCGUUGUGUCCUUUCAGGUUUGUGUAAUGUUAUGUCAAUUGCUUCACAAUGGUUAUGAUGAUUGCUUUGGUUCUAGACAUCUAAUUGCACAUGGUUGUCGAUUUGAGCAUAGUGACUUUAGGUGUUUCAUGUUGGACCAGUGUUUGGAUGAGGUCGCGCGUUGGAGCGAAGCUAUGUGGAGGUAUGAUCUUUCGGGUUAGAUUCGUGUGUUCUAGUUCCACGAUGUGUGACGGGUUCUCAUUAUUGUGUGUGGUGGUACUGGUGAGCUUGCGGGAAAGCUCUUUUAUUUGAGUCAUUUUCAUGAUUCGAGUAUGUUCAGAUUGUUUCUUAUUGGUGCGCGGAUUGCACGAGUUAUGACUUUAGUUUGUAUUGAUGGUCAUGUCACCAGAGUAGUUGUGUUGGAUUAGAUGAGACCGUUGGGAUCUAUAAUGAAUACAAAUGGAUUUGAUUUCAGCAUGUGGGAAGGAUAAUAUCGAGGUUCGGCUCAGAAAUUUGCUAUGGUCCUUGCCAGGGGAGAAGUGGCUUCAUGAAUAGUUGAUCUGAGGAAUGGUUAUGACUUACUACUUGUUUCGUUUAUCAUUGACAGUAUACGGAAGUGUUUUAAUGAGGCUUUAUUUGAUAAGAAGUAUUAUCGGUAUUUGGCUAUUUUGGGCAACUGCUGUGACUAGAAGCUAUCGCUACGAGUGUUAGAGUUAUGUGGUAUAUCAUGUAAUGGCAUUUGAGUCUGUGGGUAUGGUUUGUUACAGCUUGUUCAGGCUUAUUCAGAGUAUAGAUGUGAGAUUCUGAUCUUGUGGAUGAAUUCAGAAGUGGAACUAUGGUUCUAAGGUUUAUGGGCUAGGUUGAGUUGUGAAAUUUCAGUUGCAUUGUGUUAUCGGACCUAUAUGAGAUAGGGUGAUAUGAUAUCACCCCCAGGUAUGAGCAUGGUAAGAUUACACAACUAUUGAUGGUUUUCGGAACAACUCUACGCACGUUCAAGGACGAACGUAUGUUUAAGUAGGGGAGGAUGUAACGACCCGACCGAUCAUUUUGAGCUUUUGCACUUCGCUCGCCAGCUCUCGGUCAUGACUAGCCCCGUGUGAUGUGUUAUGACUUAUGUAAUCGGAAUGAAUUUGGAAGAACAGUUCUCAAUUUGAAGCUUAAAAUUUGAAAGGGUUGACCAAGUUUUGACUUAUUAGUAUAUGAUCUCGGAUUGGAAUUUUUUUUAUUUGGUUAGCGCUAUUAGGUAAUUUGGGACUUAGGAGAAUAAUCGGAAUGUACUUUGGAGGUCCGUGGAAGGUUUAGACUUGAAUUGGUGAAAUUGGGAUUUUGGCGUUUUCCGGUUGAUAGGUGAGAUUUUGAUAUAGGGGUCGGAAUGGAAUCCCAGAAGUUGGAGUAGGUCCUUUGUGUUAUUUGUGACGUGUGUGCAAAAUUUCAGGUCAUUCGGAUGAGGUUUGAUAGACUUUUUUAUCGAAUUUGGAAUUCGGAAGUUUUGGAAUUCUUAGGCUUGAAUCCGAGGGUGGUUUGAUGUUUUGAUGUUGUUUUGAGCGUUUCGAAGGUUAGAACAAGUUUGAAUGAUGUCAUGGGAUGUGUUGACAUGUUUGGUUGAGGUUCCGAGGGCCUCGAGUGAGUUUCGGGGUGGUUUCGGGUCAUUUCUAAGCUCUUUUUAGUUGCUGGUUUUUGGCUACAGGGGUAUACAGUGCGUUAGCAUAGAUCUGACCUCGUUAGCGUAGAGAAAAUUUGGAAAAAUAGAGUUGUGCUAUGCUAUCGCGUAAGUCAUCCCACGAUCGCAUAGAGUAAAAUCUCUAUUGCACUGGCCCGACUUUGGAAGCUUAUAUCUCACAAUCUAUAAGGAAUUUGAAGAUGAUUCAAAAACAAAAGUUGUAGCCCUUAAUGUCUAGUUUUCAGAAUCAAUUGUAAUUUGGAGUUUUAUAAAAUAAAAGUUAUAACCAUUAUACUAGAGGCUAUCCGAAAGAGUUGGAGAAAGCUGUUGAAAAAAUUUAUUCUACGCGAUCGCAGGGGAAUGGCCGCGAUCGUAUAGGGUAUAAUAAGGACUGGAAAAUUUUGUACUUCGCUAUCACAUUAGUUUGUCCGCGAUAGCAUAGGAUAAAUACCUGGGCAGAUUAUAAAGUACUCUAUUUCGAAGAUUUCAGCCAUUUUUGCAUUUUUGGAGCUAUGGAGCUCGAAUUUAGGCUAUUUUGAAGGGAUGUUUAGAGGAUUGAUUGGGGUAAGUGUUUUUCACUAAAAUUUGGUUAAAUCUCAUGAUUAUGUCUUGAUUCUUAUCAUUUAAUUUGGGAAUUUAGGGUGAAAAUUGGGAAAAAUGGAGGAAGGUUUGGAUAGUUAAUUUUAGGAAUUUGGAUGGCCAUUCGAUGUCGAAUUUUGGUGAAUUUGAUAUGGGUAGAUUUAUGAGCAAAUAGGUUUUCCAGUUUUAUGAUUUUUAUCGGAUUCCGAGACGUGGGCCCUAGGCCGAUUUGAGCCAAUUUCGGGAUUUUUGAGUUAAUUUGAUUAUUUUCGCUUGGGCUUUGUUCCUUUAGCGUAUAUUGAUGAUAAUAUACUGAUUUUGGUAAGAUUUGGAGCAUUUGGAGGCCGAUUUGAGAGGCAAAGGCAUCGCGGGAUAGAGUUUAGACCGAUUUGAGGUAAGUAAUGAUUGUAAAUAUUUGUCCUUAGUGUAUGAAACUUCAGAUUUCACAUCGUUGUGCUAUUUUGAGGUGACGCACAUGCUAGAUGAUGAACGUGGGGUCAUGCACCAUUGGGGAUUAUGACUUAGUCCGUCCCGUAUGACUGUUAAACCGCAUAUUUGAUUGAAAAUUGUUUGCUAUCAUUGUGUUUUGGAAAGUGUUAUCAUGUUUUGGGUUGAAUGCCACAUUUGGGUCGUAUGCCAACUAUUUAUGACCCUUAAGGGAUUUUUACUACUAUUCUUCAAUGCUUCAUAUUUGUACUCAGUCAUACUGUUUUCUACAAUUUUCAUAACUCAGUCAUAUUUAUUCCAUUUUUGAUAUUUUAAGCGAUAUUUUUGGGCUGAGCAUCAUGUUUUACUGCUGCCCGAGUGGCAUGAGAGAUUUCUGACUGAGUGAGGCCGAGGGCCUGUGUUGUGUGGAUAUUAUGGGAUCGGGCUGCGCGCCGCAGCAGUGUGGUACUGAUUUAUGAUUAUGAGGCCGAGGGCCUGAUUUGCUACACCAUGAGGUGGCUUGAUAUGAGGCUGAGAGUCCAUUUGAUUAUGCCACGAGAUGGCUUGUUAUUGUGCUUGGGCUGUAAGGGGCCCCUCCCGAAGUCUGUACACCCCUAGUGAGCCCGGGUACCAUGAGUGAGUGAUAUAUUGAUUAUUCCACACGAUGGCUUAUUAUUGCGCUUGGACCAUAAGGGGUGCCUCCCUGAGUCUGCACACUCCCAGUGAGCGCGGGUACCCAGUGUGAUUGAUAUGAUGUAGCCCGAGGGGCUGUUGUCAUUUUGUAUUGUUGCCCGAGGGUCUAUUCUUGAUCUAUAUUUUAUCCGAGGGGCGGUUCUUGAUUCAUGUUAUGCCCGAGGGACUGUUUACGAGUGAUUAUAAGGUAGCCCGAGGGGCCGGUUCUGCUGAGAUUAUGCUCGAGGGGCGGUUUAUCGUACAUGUUUUGCCCGAGGGGCUAUUUCAGUUUCAAUCAUUGAUACUCACUAUUUUAUCACUCGUUUCAAAACGUUGAAAGUUUUUUUAAAAAGAUUUUUACUGAAACUGAGCUUGAUUUACGAGGUAAAUGAUUUUAUGUACAGCUUUGAAAAUGAUCUACAUUUUUUGUAGUGUUAUAAUGUGGCUUACGUGUUUUCUUACUACGCAACUUUCAUUUACUUUUAUUACUUACUGAGUUGGCAUACUCACAUUACUCCCUAUAUCUUGUGUGCAGAUUCAGAUAGUUCUGAACCCGGUAGAGGGUGUUGAUUGCUCAGUGGCAGAGUCAUUGGAGUUAGCAAGGUAGCUUCCUGAUGUUCGCAGCACUACUUUUCUCCCUCUUGUCUUCCUUAGACUGUAUUUAGUACAUUCUUAGACUUUUGUUGAUUUUAGACCUUUGUAGAUUGUGACAACCCAAUAGUCGUCUCAUGAGUUACCGCUCUGUUUUUCCCCAGUUCUGCUUCUUAUUAGUUUGCCUAUCGGUUCUAUAUGUGAUCGGGUUGGUUAGCCCGGGUUCGGAGAAGAUUGUGUAAGGUUUGAGAUACUUAGUCUCUUUUGAGGAAGCUUAUGUUGGAAAAUUCAACCGAAUUUAGGCUUGAAUUGGCAAGAUUGAACUUUUGUUAUUUUCCGGUUGAUAGGUGAGAUUUUGAUAUAGGGGUUGGAAUGGAAUUCUGAGAGUUUCAGUAGUCCCGUUUUGUCAUUUGGGAUGUGUGUGCAAACUUUUAGGUUAUUCGGAAAAAAAUAGCCAACAAAGCAAAUAAAUACUCUUAGCUUCUGACAUACUAUCCACAACUGGACAUGCAGUAUAUUAGGCCAGUUAAUCCUAAACAUGAUAUCUAAGUGACAAAACAAGUACACCGAUUUAGGCAAGGUAGUUUUAACCACAUAAGACCGGCAAACAUCCUUAAGGUUUAAGGGAUGAAGUUUUAACAAUCCAAUGCCGCCUUUUAUUAACUUAGAAAUACUCGCUGAAAUGAUACCAAUGCAACAUGAAUUCAGCUAUACAAAGAAUGAAGAUCAUGGAACUUACAAAUAUCAUUCGAAAUCUUUUAGGCAGAAUUCCUAAACUAAAUCGUUGAACAUAGCAAAUAAGUUGGUGCUACUCUUAUUUAUGCAAUCUUUAGUCCUAAAUAAAGGAAAUGAUUUCCUAAUUACUAGGGUGCCAGAACAAAUCCUAAAGACAUUUCUGGUCAGGUCGUCUCAUAUUUAAAAACUCACACGUAAAAUCAAAAGAUUAAAAACACAAAUGAAUUUAAGAGACGUACCGUGUUAUUAUAUUGGCAUAAUUUCAAUAGUGUUGCAUGGCACUCGAUAUCUCAGCAUGGACAAGAGUGUACAUAAUACAAAACUAAAGAGAAGGACUAGUCUAUUCUAACAACAACCAACAUAUAAAGGAAUCGUAAUGCGUCAUUCAGGAAACUAACCAGUUUGUGGAGUACCGAAUUCAUAAGAAAACCAGAAAUCCACAUAAUGAUUCACGGACAGAUCUUCAACAACAGUAAAUAUGACAAACAAACUCCAGAAAUACGCAAUGAUUGCAAUAAGAAAACUCGAAUGAUAGCGACAAGAAAGCAAUACUCAAAUUUCGACGCUUCGAGAUCACUAAAACUUCUAAGAAUUUUGAGCAACACUCGUGUCGAGUGAAAUAAAAGAAAACAAAUUUUGCUUUGGCUUGCAAUAAGCAAAGAAGUAGCCGAAGAGUACUGAAUGAAGAGUAUAUCACAGUAAAAGAAAAGUUAUGGAAGUGAUGAAGAGCAAUGAUCAAAAGUCCUUCUCCCCUCCCUUUUUUGCCUUAACAGUAGUAGUAGUAUUUAUAGCUAAAAAUUAUUAAUGCUCUAAAUAAAAAGGAAAUAAAUUAAGGCUAACAGUUAGUACUUGACAGAAUCAAUUAGCAGAAAUCGGAGUCCACAACUUUGAGAAAAAAAAUGAUUCUUUCUAUAUAUAAAAAAUAUAUGAAUAUUUAUCAAAUUCAACUACAAUAUAAUUAGAGCAACAAGAAAUCACGUCAAGAAUGAAAAAAACUUACGGGAUUGAGUUUUUCUCAAAAUUAUUAUAUCAAAUCAAAGAAAGCAGAACCCGCAAUAAAUAAAAAAAAUUUACCUUUUUGGGGACUCCUAUGAACUUGGACAAAUUCUUCAAUUAAAUUCGUACCCAAAUCUUCCACCAAAAUUCGUUCUUUAUAGGAAGAGCUAUAAUUUCUGAUUUUGAGUGAUUUGUGAAGAAACUAUGCUAUGACAUUUGGUAAUAAAGUAGUAAAAUAAUUAAGGAAAUAACUAAAUAGAAAAAGGAAGGAAAGUAAGAGAAUAAAUAUGAUAAUGGGCUAAAGAAGGGAAAAAUGGAUGUUUGUUGCUGGCGAGGAAGGUAUAAGAUCGGAGAAUUGGUUUGGGGUUAGUCUCGUUGAGAUUUGGUUUAAAGUGGUUGGGCUUAGGAUAUUGCUGGGUGAAGUGGGCUCCAUUUGGACAGAGAGCACAUGUUGGGCUAGAUAAAUAGGGGAGUAUUUGGGCUACUAUUUUAACUAAAAAACAUAAUAAUUAUAGUAAUCAAUAAUAAUAAUAAUAAUAACAACAAUAAUAUUAAUAAUAAAUGAUAGCAAUAUAAACAUUGUAUUGUGAUAAAAUAAGUAAAAUUUUAGAAUCUUUAACAUUUACAAAAAAUAGAAGCUCAAAGGAAUAAAUUCAAUAAGAGGAGGGACAAAAUUGGGUUUCAACAGUUGCCCCUCUUUGCCCGAGAACGAUGAAAGAGUUUUUUGGGCAAAGAAAUUGAUGUAGUAGCCAAUUUUGUCCGACUGGUGAUAUAGUUGUGUAAGAAUAAAUGGGAAUAAGAGUCCUGAAAAAUAUUGUGGCCGAACUCCAGUUUCUGAGUUGCCUACAUAUCCUGGGCUUUACGAGAAUCAGGUCGUGUGUAGUUCUAGAUUAGGGAAGGACAUGAAUCCCUAAAAAAUUUUACCAGUAUUGAAUUAUGAUCAUAUUGGAUAUUGUGAUCGAAAAAAAUAGAAGGGUGUAUGAGGAAAAAUAGGAUUGGGAAGUAAUGUGAUUCUGAGUAAGGUAGAGAUUGUUGCGAAAAUUGAGGAGAGAAAAGUAGGUAGUGAAAACUAAUAUUAUAAAGAGAAUAAAGGUACACUUACUACUUCAAGGAGAUGUUAAUUCUAGAAAUUAUUCCGGUCUCAAGUGGCGAUGACGUUGGAAUUGAGUAGAAAUCAAAAAUAGAGAGAUAUUGGAUGCGAAAAUUGCCCCAGUUUGAUAAUAAGAACUUGUUGUGAUAUUUUGCAUCUUGUACUUGCAAACUUCAAGUAUUUCUACAAAAGAUAAUUAGUAUGUAAGCACAUGUAAGCAUUAAUAUGAUGAAUGUAAUCUACUAAAAAUGUUUAAAUAUGAUGCAAAUUCCCUUUAGAUCAUGAAAGUUGUCCUAGGACGAUGAGGAUGAUGUCCUUAGACCAUGACGUCCUGGGCUAUGAAGCGUAUGAUAAUGUAUUCGCAGGCCAUGAAAUGAUGUCCUCGGGCCAUGAGGAUGGUGCCUCUAGACUAUGAUGCCUUUGAAUAAUGAUGUGCAGUUUCGAGAGAUCCUCAGGCCAUGACAUGGUGUCUUUUGGCUAUGAUGAUGAUGUCUUUAGACAAUAACGCCUUUGGACAAGUUGGCGAUGUUUUAGCCCAUGAGAUGCAAUAAUAUGAUGUUAACAAGACAAGUCUUAGUCUUGUGAAAUGAAGGGCAGAGCUUAGCCCAAUCGAAAAUCAAAUAGAUAGUACCGGAAUAGAGCAAUAUAUGUGCAAGGAGGGACAAUGCUUAGUCCCAUGCGAAUAUGGAGGCAGAGAUUAGCUUCAUGCAGAUAUAGAGGCAAGUAUUAGCCUCAUGCGAGUAUGGAGGCAGAGAUUAGCCUCAUGCACGUACGGAGGCACGGAUUAGCCUCAUGCAAAUAUGGAGG
rnacentral:lncRNA from 1 species